rnacentral:rRNA from 1 species
CAGUCGCCGCGGUAAUACGUAGGGUGCGAGCGUUAAUCGGAAUUACUGGGCGUAAAGCGUGCGCAGGCGGUUUCUUAAGUCUGAUGUGAAAGCCCCCGGCUCAACCGGGGAGGGUCAUUGGAAACUGGGAAACUUGAGUGCAGAAGAGGAGAGUGGAAUUCCACGUGUAGCGGUGAAAUGCGUAGAGAUGUGGGGGAACACCAGUGGCGAAGGCGACUCUCUGGUCUGUAACUGACGCUGAGGAGCGAAAGCGUGGGAAGCGAACAGGAUUAGAUACCCCUGUAGUCCCUGUCUCUUAUAC